rnacentral:lncRNA from 1 species
GUAGCAAGUCAGUGUUGUUUAUUUGUUUAAAGCCAAAUAUAAACAGGAAAGGAAUGAAAUCAUUACCAGCCUCCAGCUGUCCAGGAAAAUACCUGUUUAUAAAUAAAAACGGAGAAAGGAGAGAUGUCCCCAUCUUGCAACCUCAGCUGUCAGUGUCAGGGGCCCUGGGGCUAAGGGCUCCUCACCAUCCAUUCCUGGGCCAGCAGUUUUCCAUCCAAUGUGGAAUUUUGCCCAGCCCAGGCACUUCCAGAGAGAAGGAGGGAAGGAGGUGGGAAAUAAAUGCAGCACUGUGUCCCUGCUGGCAGUCCCCGUGUCCCCCAUGGGGAAGAGCCAGCAGGAGCUGGGAUAUCCCUGGAGAUGCCCAUAAGGGUCAGGACAGUAUCUGGAGCCAGCUCGUGUGCAGGUGGAGGUGGCCUGGAAAGGACCAGAGAUCCCAGGGACCCUUCUCCAGGCCAGAGCAGCCCUUCCUUCCUCUCAUCCUCCUGCUCCCACAGCUCUGCCUGGCCCCAGGCAGGCCUGGCUGGUCUGGAUGCUCCUGGGGCUUGGUUUUCCUGCAAAGAUUGGAGACAAACUCCCAUGGUUUGUCAGAGGCCUCACUGCCUGCCUUCGGCUGUGUCAGGGUGCUCUCAGUGUCCCUGUGUGUCAGGAUGGCUCCAAAAGGGUUGGAAGAGCUUCCCAAGAGGAGCCAGGAGGGCACCAGCAGCUCCUCAGCCUGGCCUGGAGCAGCAGCACACCCACACCUCGGCCUCCAAGGGUGGAGAGACUUCCCAGGGAUGCUGCUGCCCACAGCACUGCUGCCCAGGAAUGGCAUUGCUUGGGAGUGGCACUGCCUGGAACCCCUGGGUGCCAGCACCCAGUGGCAAAGCCUGGAACCAGCCCUGGCUUUUCCUCACCAUCCAGGCAGUGAGUACUCCUGGCUUCCAGCCCCUUCCCAGCCUCCUCUUCCCCCAUUCUGGAUUUUCUCCUUCACCCUCUGGAUCUGAAGAUGGCAGCACUGGGGCUGUUCUGUCCCCAGGACGGGUGGCCGGUGACAUGGAAAGGGGAGAGCAGGGCAAUGACUGCAGGGAAUUCAGCCCCUGCUCCCAAGGACUGUGGCACUGCACAGGAGAGACCUGGCCUGGCUUUGCACCUGGGGGAGAGAGGGGAGACAAUUCCAGCUUUCCAGAAAGCCACACAAGCCUUCCUGGGAGAGCUCCACACACAGGACAGGACAAAUCCCCAUGGACAGCAUCAGCAGCACCUUUAACACGGACACCACGGAUCCAGACAUCAGCCAGACACACACAAGGAGCUUUUGGAAUCCACUGCUGUCCCCCUGGGGAAAAGGUGACUGUGCCUGUGCUGCCAGGAGGAGAGGGGCACAGGCAAACCCCAAAUGUCACCCCACCAUCCCACAGUGCUGGGCCGUGGAUGUGCAGCCUGUGGGAACCCGGGUGCAUUCCAAGAGGCCGUUCCAGCAUGGACACAGAGCUAUCCUGGGGGGGGUUUCAGCUCUCCCUGGCCCCCCUGGAUGCUGGGCUGAGCCCCCCCACAGCAGCAGGUGCUCACAGGGCAAGUGGCACUGGAGGUAGUGGGGACACCUGUCCCAAACGGGAGACCAAGGGAACUCACCAUUCCCUUUGGGUUUGUGUCAAAUCCCAAAAUCUGACGUGGCCCCUGGGCUGAGGUUGAGUGGAAAACACACUGAAACAGCCCAGUCUUUCCAAAUUUGGCACCUCCAAGGCUGUGUUGGUGCUCUGGGUGACCCCAACACCCACAGCCCAGGUGUGGAUGUGGGCAGCACCCAGAGCAGGCAGAGCUGUCUGAGGUCACAGCUCCUCCAAAAACUCCUGCCAGAGGGGUGGGAAUUCAGUUCCAGGGCUGCCCCAAGUACCCAACCCUUCUGCACCCCAGGCCACACCAGCCUCUGGUGAGCAACAGCUCCCACACUUCCUCCUGGGCCAGGCUCCUCUCAGGGUGUGAGCACAGAGCGGCCCCAAAAGAGGCACAAAAGGGCCCUGCUGGCUGCUCUGGGACCCCUGAAGCACCCAGCACCUUUCCAGGUGGGCUGGCAAGCACUGGCCAUUCUCAGGGAAACCCUGGCUGCUUCCUAUGGCUCCUGUGGCUCUUUUAUGGCACGGCUGCAGCUCAGGCAGCUCCUGAUGCUGAGGGCUCCUGUGAGCUCUGCAAUUCCCUGGGUGCACUGGAGAGAGGCCCAGGUGGCAACAGAAGGGAGUACAAAAUCCCAGGAAUCCUGCUGACAGCUGGGAAUGGGGAACUCAGGACCUGCUCUGCCCCUUCUCAGCCACCCUGGGAGUCACCAGCCCCAUUCCCAACCUUGCAUCCCUGCCAGGAAACUUUUGGGAUCUGCUUUCACAAUGGGUUGGAAGGCUGGGGUCUACUCCAACCCUCAAGAACAAGAGAUGGAAUUUCAGAUUUUUUGCAUGAGGAUUCCCUACCCUGCUUCACAAUGGAAACUCCUCCUCCCUCCAAGUUCCUGUCAGGACAACCUGGGACAGUGAAAGUGUCCCUGCCCAUGGAACAAGAGGAGCUUUAAAGUCCUGUCCAGACCAAACCAUUCUGGGAUUCUUUAGUCAGAGUGCAUGGAGCAGAGCCCCCUCAGCAUUCCUCACUCUCUCCCCACAGGCUGCUCCUCCUGGAGCCCCAGAUCCCUCCAGACCACCAC